UGACCAUUUUGGUUGCCCUCCUCUGGACACAUUCCAGUUUGUCAGUGUCCUUCUUGAACUGUGGUGCCCAGAACUGGACACAGUACUCCAGGUGAGGUCUGACCAGAGCAGAAUACAGCAUGUUCCCUAGAGAAGGUGCUGGGGAAGAGACCCCAAUAGGGUCAAAUCCUCUGCUCACAGCGGAGAGUACAGGAACGAUGUACAACCCUUGUAUAAGGCAGCUUCCUAUGUUCCUAUGAGAGAGCUUCUCUGCUCAUACAUUGACCCUGGGCUUCCUAAAGGCAGCUGGGUGGACACGAGGG